GAGAAUUCUCUCUUCCCCACACACACACACACACACACACACACACAUAUAUAUAUAUAUAUAUAUAUAUAUAUCAGUAGUGGAAGUAUAUAAACAUAUUGAGGAGUGUAAAGAUCAGCAUUAUACAGUUCCACUCAAUAUUGACACAGACAUUGAUUGAAGUAUAAUCAAAAGUGCUUACAGAAGACAGUUUACAUUAUUUCUGCAAAAUGCAGAAGGCAGAGACACAGGGAAACCAACCUCCCUUAGGAUACCCAUCUGAGAAUCCCCCCGCCAAAAGAAAGUUCUUCUCUGCUUCCAAGAAGAAAGGUGAUAGGGGCUUCAUCGAGGGAUGGUAAGCAUAUCUACUGAAUUGCAUAAUGAUUACAUUAAUACACUCACAUAUGCUAUAUAUUCUGCAUGGAAAACAUGAUAUAUAACGAUAAGUACUAUAAUCUAUAACUGUUUGACCAAGAAAUGAAUUAAUAUAUAUGCGCUAAAGUUUCCAUAAACACCAUAAACUGUUUACCAGAAUACUAGACUAUGACCUGGAGUUGGAUCAGAUCAGCAUAUUUUAUCAGAAAGCAUUUAAAUUUAUUCGAUUGAUAUCUUUUUUUUGUUGUUGAAAAUUCUUAUUUAUGAUGCAGCCUCUUCGCUCUGUGUUGCUGCUGGCUUUGUGAAGAAUGCUGCUGAACUAGAGUUCAGGAUACUAUAUUGGCAUAUUACUGCUUCUUUCCUUGUUUGAUAGUGUUUGAGUGUUAGUGGAUUUCAUC
rnacentral:sRNA from 1 species